GCAGCUGUGGCCGAGUGGUUAAAGGGGAUGGACUCGAAAUCCCUUGGGGUCUCCCGCGUAGGUUCGAAUCCUACCGGCUGCG
rnacentral:tRNA from 1 species